rnacentral:misc_RNA from 1 species
UCCGGCCUAUCACCGGCGGUCCCACUAGAGUGCCCAACUGAAUGUAGCAACUAAUGACAAGGGUUGCGCUCGUUGCGGGACUUAACCCAACAUCUCACGACACGAGCUGACGACAACCAUGCACCACCUGUGAACCAGCCCCAAAGGGGAAACCGUGUUUCCACGGCGGUCUGGCACAUGUCAAGCCUUGGUAAGGUUCUUCGCGUCGCAUCGAAUUAAGCCGCAUGCUCCGCCGCUUGUGCGGGCCCCCGUCAAUUCCUUUGAGUUUUAGCCUUGCGGCCGUACUCCCCAGGCGGGGUGCUUAAUGCGUUAGCUUCGGCACGGACGGGGUUGAUAUCCGCCCACACCUAGCACCCAACGUUUACGGCUAGGACUAC